AGGACGAACGCUGGCGGCGUGCCUAACACAUGCAAGUCGAGCGGGGACAUGCGACGGAGGAGAAGUUUCGGAUGGAUCCAAAGAUGUAUUGUUCUAGCGGCGGACGGGUGAGUAACGCGUGAGCAACCUGUCCCUUACAGGGGGAUAACACAGCGAAAGUUGUACUAAUACCGCAUAAGACCACAGUGAGACAUCUUACAGGGGGUCAAAGGAGCAAUCCGGUAAGGGGUGGGCUCGCGUCCGAUUAGAUAGUUGGUGAGGUAACGGCCCACCAAGUCGACGAUCGGUAGCCGACCUGAGAGGGUGAUCGGCCACAUUGGGACUGAGACACGGCCCAAACUCCUACGGGAGGCAGCAGUGGGGAAUAUUGGGCAAUGGGGGAAACCCUGACCCAGCAACGCCGCGUGAGGGAAGAAGGUUUUCGGAUCGUAAACCUCUGUCCUUGGUGAAGAGGAAGAGACGGUAGCCAAGGAGGAAGCCCCGGCUAACUACGUGCCAGCAGCUGC
rnacentral:rRNA from 1 species